UAUUUAACUUGACUCUAACUUGUCCUGCUCUGUAUCCUGACACCUGAAGACUGCUGGAAGCCAUAAGGUGGAUGGGAUAGGCACUCGCGGUUGGGGAUCCCCACUUUAUACAUGGUUUGGCACAUUGGGUUCAUGAUUGCUCCACGUUUUAAGUUUGCAGUGAGCAAGCCUCUCAAGACCCUACAUGUGUGUGUGAGAGAGCGGAGAAGGAGAGGGGGCUGGGAAUAUAAGUCCAGAGGGAAGUGAACUUCCUUCCAGAAGGUGAACUCCUGGCACCCCCAUUCCCCGGGAUGCCCCCCAGGGCAAGACA